rnacentral:rRNA from 1 species
AGCGCGCGUAGGCGGCCCGGUAAGUCCGCUGUGAAAGUCAAAGGCUCAACCUUUGAAUGUCAGCGGAUACUGCCGGGCUAGAGUCCGGAAGAGGCGAGUGGAACUCCUGGUGUAGCGGUGGAAUGCGCAGAUAUCAGGAAGAACACCAACGGCGAAGGCAGCUCGCUGGGACGGAACUGACGCUAAGGCGCGAAAGCGUGGGGAGCGAACAGGAUUAGAUACCCUGGUAGUCCACGCCGUAAACGAUGGGCACUAGGUGUGGGAGGUGUCGACUCCUCCCGUGCCGGCGCUAACGCAUUAAGUGCCCCGCCUGGGGAGUACGGCCGCAAGGCUAAAACUCAAAGGAAUUGA